UGAAGCUGGAAUUGUCUAGUAAUCACAGGUCAGCAUACUGUGGUGAAUACGUUCCCGGGCCUUGUACACACCGCCCGUCACACCAUGAGAGUUGAGAAUACCCGAAGCCCAUGUCAAAGUGGUCGAAGGUAGGCUUGAUGAUUGGGGUGAAGUCGUAACAAGGUAGC
rnacentral:rRNA from 1 species